rnacentral:rRNA from 1 species
GAUGAACGCUGGCGGCGUGCUUAACACAUGCAAGUCGAACGGAAAGGCCCUGCUUUUGUGGGGUGCUCGAGUGGCGAACGGGUGAGUAACACGUGAGUAACCUGCCCUUGACUUUGGGAUAACUUCAGGAAACUGGGGCUAAUACCGGAUAGGAGCUCCUGCUGCAUGGUGGGGGUUGGAAAGUUUCGGCGGUUGGGGAUGGACUCGCGGCUUAUCAGCUUGUUGGUGGGGUAGUGGCUUACCAAGGCUUUGACGGGUAGCCGGCCUGAGAGGGUGACCGGCCACAUUGGGACUGAGAUACGGCCCAGACUCCUACCGGAGGCAGCAGUGGGGAAUAUUGCACAAUGGGCGGAAGCCUGAUGCAGCAACGCCGCGUGCGGGAUGACGGCCUUCGGGUUGUAAACCGCUUUCGCCUGUGACGAAGCGUGAGUGACGGUAAUGGGUAAAGAAGCACCGGCUAACUACGUG